rnacentral:rRNA from 1 species
GCCAGAGACGUUUCUUCCUGAGGUUCUCACCUGGUUUCCCACUGAAGCUAAGCAGGGUUGCGCCUGGUCAGUAUCUGGAUGGGAGACCUCCUGGGGAAAACUAAGGCUUCUGAUGGAA